GCUGGGAUGGCCGAGUCGUUAAGGCGAGUGAUUUGAACACUGCUUAUAUAAUCAGUAUGUUACGUAAGCACCGAAUUAUCACUUGGUGUUUCACCGCGUAGGUUCAAAUCCUGCUCUCAGCG